rnacentral:rRNA from 1 species
CCUACGGGAGGCUGCAGUGGGGAAUAUUGGACAAUGGGCGAAAGCCUGAUCCAGCCAUGCCGCGUGUGUGAAGAAGGCCUUCGGGUUGUAAAGCACUUUCAGUGGGGAAGAAAGCCUUGGGGCUAAUACCCUCGAGGAAGGACAUCACCCACAGAAGAAGCACCGGCUAACUCCGUGCCAGCAGCCGCGGUAAUACGGAGGGUGCGAGCGUUAAUCGGAAUUACUGGGCGUAAAGCGCGCGUAGGCGGUCUGAUAAGCCGGUUGUGAAAGCCCCGGGCUCAACCUGGGAACGGCAUCCGGAACUGUCAGGCUAGAGUGCAGGAGAGGAAGGUAGAAUUCCCGGUGUAGCGGUGAAAUGCGUAGAGAUCGGGAGGAAUACCAGUGGCGAAGGCGGCCUUCUGGACUGACACUGACGCUGAGGUGCGAAAGCGUAGGUAGCAAACAGGAUUAGAUACCCCAGUAGUC